GAAUUGGUCCUUCGGGAUUAAUUUAGUGGCGAACGGGUGAGUAAGACGUGCUUAAUCUACCCUUAAAUCGGGAAUACACACUGGAAACGGUGAAUAAUACCCGAUGUGUUUUUUAAAACGCAUGUUUUAAAAAACAAAGCAACUUCUGGUUGUGUUUAAGGAUGAGAGCGCGUCGCAUUAGAUUGUUGGUGGGGUAAUGGCCUACCAAGUUAAUGAUGCGUAGCUGGACUGAGAGGUUGAACAGCCACACUGGGAUUGAGAUACGGCCCAGACUCCUACGGGAGGCAGCAGUAAGGAAUUUUUCACAAUGGGCGCAAGCCUGAUGAAGCAAUACCGCGUGAUUGAUGGAGGUUUUCGGAUCGUAAAAAUCUGUGGUAAAGAAAGAAGAUCAAUUCGAAGAAAAGCGAAUUGGUUUGACGGUACUUUACUAGAAAGUCACGACUAAUUACGUGCCAGCAGUCGCGGUAAUACGUGAGUGGCGAGUGUUAUCCGGAAUUAUUGGGCGUAAAGUAUGCGUAGAUGGUGAAAUAAGUCACAGGUUUAAAAAUGGAGCUCAACUCCAUAGCGCUUGUGAUACUGUUUUACUAGAGGGUAGAAGAUGUUAGUGGAAUUUCAUAUGUAGCGGUGGAAUGCGUGGAUAUAUGAAGGAACACCAAUAGCGAAGGCGACUAACAGGUCUAUUCCUGACAUUGAGGCAUGAGAGCGCGGGGAGCAAAUCGGAUUAGAUACCCGAGUAGUCCGCGCCGUAAACGCUGGGUACUAGAUAUUGUCACUUAAGAGAAUGUCGAAGUUAACACGUUAA
rnacentral:rRNA from 1 species